rnacentral:rRNA from 1 species
ACUCCUACGGGAGGCAGCAGUGGGGAAUAUUGCACAAUGGGGGAAACCCUGAUGCAGCCAUGCCGCGUGUAUGAAGAAGGCCUUCGGGUUGUAAAGUACUUUCAGUCGUGAGGAAGGGUGUGUAGUUAAUAGCUGCAUGCCUUGACGUUAGCGACAGAAGAAGCACCGGCUAACUCC